GGUCAUAGCUCCGUGGUAGAGCAUCUGUUCUGCAUGAGGAAAAGCCCAGGUUUAAUCCCUGGCAUCUCCA